AUUGAACGCUGGCGGCAUGCUUUACACAUGCAAGUCGAACGGCAUCGCGGGGCUUCGGUCCUGGCGGCGAGUGGCGAACGGGUGAGUAACACAUCGGAACGUACCUGGAAGUGGGGGACAACCAGUCGAAAGAUUGGCUAAUACCGCAUACCAUCUACGGAUGAAAGAGGGGGACCUUCGGGCCUCUUGCUGUCAGAGCGGCCGAUGCCUGAUUAGCUAGUUGGUGGGGUAAAGGCCUACCAAGGCGAUGAUCAGUAGCUGGUCUGAGAGGACGAUCAGCCACACUGGGACUGAGACACGGCCCAGACUCCUACGGGAGGCAGCAGUGGGGAAUUUUGGACAAUGGGGGCAACCCUGAUCCAGCAAUGCCGCGUGAGUGAAGAAGGCCUUCGGGUUGUAAAGCUCUUUUGUCAGGGAAGAAACAGAGAGUGCUAAUACCAUUUUCGAAUGACGGUACCUGAAGAAUAAGCACCGGCUAACUACGUGCCAGCAGCCGCCGUAAGAC
rnacentral:rRNA from 1 species